GGGGGCGAAAUGGUUUCGACGGGGAUAAAGAAGUUAUAACUGCAUACCGAGUUUCCGUAUCUCGUAAAACUAUCGGAAAUUAAACAUAAUCGCAGACGAUUAUAACUACGCUCUAGCUGCUUAACAAGCUAGCGCCUGACUCAUCAUUCCUGUUAAAUGGGUUAAGGCGUCGAUCAACAGGAUAGCAUUAACUUCUCGCCUAAAGUAGUUAGUGCGAAAUUUUAUAGGCUAGCUUUUUAAGUAUUUGGUUUGAUGAAGACUUUGAAAAGCGAAUUUCAAAAAUCAGACUAUGUAUGUAGUAUGUUAUAAUGGAAUAUUUCCGGACGCGGGUUCGACUCCCGCCGCCUCCACCA
rnacentral:tmRNA from 1 species